GACAGAGGUGCCGAGCGUUAGGCGGAAUCACUGGGCUUAAAGCGUGUGUAGGCGGGGCGUUAAGUGUCUUGUGAAAUCCCACGGCUCACCCGUGGAACUGCUCGGUAUACUGGUCGUCUUGAGCCUUCUAGGGGCGAGUGGAACAAAUGGUGGAGCGGUGAAAUGCGUAGAUAUCAUUUGGAACGCCAAUGGUGAAAACAACUCGCUGGGGAAGUGCUGACGCUGAGACACGAAAGCCAGGGGAGCGAACGGG
rnacentral:rRNA from 1 species